UUCAGGUAGCUCAGCUGGUUAGAGCAAAGGACUGAAAAUCCUUGUGUCAGUGGUUCGAAUCCACUUCUAAGCGGGCGAA
rnacentral:tRNA from 1 species